GGUCUCCGUAGGUGAACCUGCGGAGGGAUCAUUACACAAAUAUGAAGGCGGGCUGGAACCUCUCGGGGUUACAGCCUUGCUGAAUUAUUCACCCUUGUCUUUUGCGUACUUCUUGUUUCCUUGGUGGGUUCGCCCACCACUAGGACAAACAUAAACCUUUUGUAAUAGCAAUCAGCGUCAGUAACAAAUUAAUAAUUACAACUUUCAACAACGGAUCUCUUGGUUCUGGCAUCGAUGAAGAACGCAGCGAAAUGCGAUAAGUAGUGUGAAUUGCAGAAUUCAGUGAAUCAUCGAAUCUUUGAACGCACAUUGCGCCCUUUGGUAUUCCAAAGGGCAUGCCUGUUCGAGCGUCAUUUGUACCCUCAAGCUUUGCUUGGUGUUGGGCGUCUUGUCUCUAGCUUUGCUGGAGACUCGCCUUAAAGUAAUUGGCAGCCGGCCUACUGGUUUCGGAGCGCAGCACAAGUCGCACUCUCUAUCAGCAAAGGUCUAGCAUCCAUUAAGCCUUUUUUGAACUUUUGACCUCGGAUCAGGUAGGGAUACCCGCUGAACUUA
rnacentral:rRNA from 1 species